GAAACAAGGAUGUGGAGACAACGUUUCAGCUCCUCUCUGAGCCUUUAUCAAGUUUAUCAGAGAGGAGCCGAAACGUUGUCUCCACUUCCUUGUUU